rnacentral:misc_RNA from 1 species
CAGUGGCCGCUUUACGGUCCCCAGUGCCUCAGGCUCUGCAGGCAUCUCCCUGUAAUUCUGGACCGCUGCUCCUGCCGCUCCCCGAACUCACUCCGCUGCGAAAACAAAUGUCGACAAAUUUGCCUCGGUGGUUGGAGAAAGAAAAGCUCAUAGGCCGGGCGCGGUGGCUCACAACUGUAAUCCCAGCACUUUGGGAGGCCGAGGCGGACAGAUCCCCUGAGGUCAGGAGCUCAAGACCAGCCUGGCCAACAUGGUGGUGUUCCCACUGAUGAAGAGCAGGCGACUGGGUUGGAGAGGGAGAUCAUGCUGGCUGCAAAGAAGGGACUGGACCCAUACAAUGUACUGGCCCCAAAGGGAGCUUCAGGCACCAGGGAAGACCCUAAUUUAGUCCCCUCCAUCUCCAACAAGAGAAUAGUAGGCUGCAUCUGUGAAGAGGACAAUACCAGCGUCGUCUGGUUUUGGCUGCACAAAGGCGAGGCCCAGCGAUGCCCCCGCUGUGGAGCCCAUUACAAGCUGGUGCCCCAGCAGCUGGCACACUGAGCACCUGCACUAAAUUACUCAAAAUGUGCUGUAAAGUUUCUUCUUUCCAGUAAAGACUAGCCAUUGCAUUG